rnacentral:ncRNA from 2 species
GACAUAUUUCACUAUAUGGGCGCCCGAGAGGGCUUAAAAGGGAAUUCCAAUCCCGCCGAUUAUCCCGCCUCUGGCGGGAUGGCGGGGAAACGGAAACGGUCCCGCCGCUGUAGCCCGGCAUUAAUAAACCUUUUGGCAAUAUGCCACUGUUCUAAAUUGUAUAGAGCGGGAAGGCAGCUAUAAAAGGGCUGGGCAGUCAGAAUACCUGCCUAUAUAUUAAGGCAUCG